rnacentral:rRNA from 1 species
CGUGUUUUCACUUGUGAAAACAUGAUUUUAGAAUGUCAUAUUUCCUAGAAAAGCUCGUAACCCUAUAAUUAAUUGAAAAACCUGUACCUGAAACCGACACAGGUAGGUUGGUAGAGAAUACUGAGGGGCGCAAGAGAACUCUCUCUAAGGAACUCGGCAAAUUCGCCCCGUAACUUCGGGAGAAGGGGUGCUUUUAUUUUAUAAAAGCCGCAGUGAAGAGGGUUGGGUGACUGUUUACCAAAAACACAGGUCUCCGCAAAGUCGCAAGACAAUAUAUGGGGGCUGACGCCUGCCCAGUGCCGGAAGGUGAAGGAAGUUGGUUAUUCCAUUUGUGGGAGAAGCUGACGACCGAAGCCCCGGUGAACGGCAGCUGUAACUAUGACAGUUCUAAGGUAGCGAAAUUCAUUGUCGAGUAAGUUUCGACCUGCACGAAAGGCGUAACAAUCCAACCACUGUCUCAGAGAGAGACUUGGUGAAAUAGACUUAUCCGUGAAGAUGCGGAUUAAUAACACUUGGACAGAAAGACCCUAUGAAGCUUGACUGUAUCCUGGAAUUGGGUUCGGGCUUUUCUUGCGCAGUCUAGGUGGGAGGCAUUGAAGAUUUCCUUCCGGGGAAGUUGGAGCCAUCAGUGAGAGACCACUCUGGAGAGGCUAGAAUCCUAACGGUGAUCCUUUGAUCAGGACACUUAACAUUUUCAGGUGGGCAGUUUGUUUGGGGCGAACACCUCAUAAAAGGUAACUGAGGUGCGCAAAGGUUCCCUCGGUCUGGACGGAAAUCAGACUAAAGAGUGUAAAGGCAAAAGGGAGCUUGACUGCAAGACCUACAAGUCGAGCAGGGGCGAAAGCCGGCCUUAGUGAUCCGACGGUUCCACGUGGAAGGGCCGUCGCUCUACGGAUAAAAGUUACUCUAGGGAUAACAGGCUAAUCUUCUCCAAGAGUUCACAUCGACGAGAAGGUUUGGCACCUCGAUGUCGGCUCAUCACAUCCUGGGGCUGUAGUAGGUCCCAAGGGUUGGGCUGUUCGCCCAUUAAAGUGGUACGUGAGCUGGGUUCAAAACGUCGUAAGACAGUUUGGUCCAUAUCCGGUGUUAUCGAUAGAGCAUUGAGAGGACCCAUCCCUAGUACGAGAGGAUUGGGAUGGUCGUGCCUAUGGUGUAUCAGUUCUUUCUCCAGAAGGAAACGCUGAGUAGCUACGCACGGUUUAGAUAACCGCUGAAAGCAUCUAAGUGGGAAGCUUUCCUCAAGAUGAGUGCUCUCUGAGGCCUCAGCUAGACAAGCUGUUUGAUAGGUAUCCGGUGAAAGAUUCGCGAGGGUUUCAGCCAAGAUAUACUAAGGGCCAAUCGA